rfam:Toxocara canis scaffold279, whole genome shotgun sequence.
GAAAGCAUAUCGCAGUGGUAGAGCACCCGCUUCGUAUGCGGAAAGACCUGGGUUCGGUUCCCGGCUGCUUUCC